rnacentral:misc_RNA from 1 species
AACAUUCCAUGUUGCACCAGAUGUUGGCUCCCACAAAUGGAUACAAUUCUUGCAGUCACCUGAAACAAGCUUCCCGGGAACACGAGGACUCCAGUCUAUAGCAUAACCUUCAUCUUUAUGUCCACCAAACUUAAAUAAGGGUGCUUGACUAGAGACUGCAGAAGCCCCAUGGCUAAGAUCACUCUCGGAUUCUGCCAAAGCAUUUAUAUGAGAGCUAAUAUCCCAAACCUGAACAUGACCAGUAUCACCCCAAGAAGCAACUAUAUCGGGUUUUUGUGUCAUAGCACGUAUACGAUUAACACAUCCUUCAUGAAACACCUUGCGUAACUGUAAUACAGGUGUCCCCGAUCCAGCUUCCUCUUCUUCAUCACUGUCACUACUGUCACCGUCCAUGUCAGAGUCAUCACCUGUCUUGUCUGGCACCAAGUCCCGCCUUUUCCCAGAUAUUUUAGACAACUUAAAUAUACCAAUGGAGUUCCAAGAACUUUUCUCUGCCUGUGAUCCUGCUACACAGUAUACAGAAUGUGGAAAUUCAGUCCGCACUAAGCCGAGAGAGUCGCGCAACACAUCAAAACUCAAGCAAGGCCAACCAAUGUGGAAGGCAUGAAGAGAAUUAUAAGCAGAAGCAUCACACUGAAGCUCUUCUCCUUCCUCUAAUUUGUCAACUCCUGGUUGCCAUACCUUCGCUGGCAAUGAUGGUACUGAAUCCGACGAUCCUUCUCCUUUCUUUGCCUUGUUCUUCCGUUUAGCUUUUUUAGGGUUCUUUAAGCUCCGAACCAUCUUGGAAUUAGACGAUCAAACUAAGAAGAAGAAAUGAUGAAGCAGAG